AGAAUGCCCUCACAGACUAAAGCCAACUUGCUCAAAUCCAGACAGCCUUGUUACUACCAAGUCCCUUAGGAGGAAUGAGUCAGCACACCCUGACCAGGAAGCGCACAGUGGCCCACGCAUGCGCAACAGUAGCUUCCAAGCCUGCUAACCUCUAAAGCCUGAUUGACACCUGGAGACAAUGACGACAGAAUGCAUGACAGAAUGACAGAUGGUGCCAAGUAUAUAGAGUGAGCAGUCAUUGGCCAAUGGUGCCCUGGUGGAAGUUAUAAAGGCUUACCUAGUUUCUGCUUUUUGCCACUUGCCUGACACCUGGAGUCUAUGUCAUUGACUCUGAGCCUUUCCCUAGUCCCCAAGGAUCUUGGUCGGGGUCUCAAGCAACAUUUGCCCUUCCCUUUCCACCCUCCAAACCAUCCCUCUCCACUUUCCUU
rnacentral:lncRNA from 1 species